rnacentral:lncRNA from 1 species
CUGCAGCCGUAAAUUCUGCUGCGUGCAGUCGGUACGGGGUGGCAAAAGACUUAGUUUGCCAUUGAAUCACAGCUAAUUGCCAACGCACCCCCGCCGACUCCGCAGCUGAAGGGCUCCCAUGAAGCCAUCACGAAGGGUGCUGCUGUCCAACAGCGUGAUUACGCACAAACCAACACCAACGUGGCAUGAAAUGAUUAAUGAGCCAUAAAAUGUGAACUUGGGUUGGCGCACCAAAGACAUUCACAGCUCCUCACAGAACACGCAAGAACCGGAGUGAACAGGAGCUGGGCCCACAUUUUAAUGGCAUUUUUAUUGCACGUAAAACACAAAUUGGGACAGGAUUGGCACAGAAGUGCAGAGCGCUUCGAAACACAUGCCAAUUGUGUGUGUGUGUGUGUGGUGUGGCAAUUACAUUUUCUUUUAAUGCAUCGCAUAAAAUGCACGAAAUGGUUUUUUAAACGUUUGCAACAUUUCAUUUAGAGCUGAUAUCCAACGCCUUCCACUUCAGUUGUUAUCCAGCCGCAGCAGAGAACGGAUCGGCAAUAUGCUCCCAUCUGUUUUCCUCUUAUUAUCUGGCAUAACGCUGGGAAGUAAGUUUUGCUUGAGUCAUCUGUGAACUAUUUCAUUUUCAAUUCCUAUUUGCAGAUGCAUUGGGCAGCAAAUCAUUUGGUUGUGUGAAUGCAAACAGUGAUCAGGAAUCUUACUUUUGGCUUGGAACCAAGCCUGCUCCGGCGUUGCCAUCACCUCUCGCAACAUACUGGCGCCGGCGCACUGUGUGAUCUGGCAGCACGAAAAAGACUACAGCUUCAGGACCAGAGGUGAAACCCAUCACAUCGGGCGGAUUUUCAUUCAUCCGAGAUACACUUUCGACCGCUCUGAUAACGAUAUCGCUGUGCUACAGCUGGGAGACGAUUCUGUGUUGUCUUCCUGCCUGCCUCUGGCGGAGGAGGUGCAGGCCGUGGCCCUGACUGCCUCUCGCUUCGAUGUGGCGACCACCACACUGGGUCCCAAGGGGAAAAACAGGCUUCGAACGAGUAAAAUUACGAGCCAAGCCUACUGCCGGCGGAAAUUUGAAGGUCUGAAAGCCCAAUGUUGGUGGGUUCGGCAUUGCUGGACAGGAGCAUGGAGAAUGGCACUGAGACAUGGCAGCUUUUGGGCAUCUCCGCGCAUGGCCUGCCCGAGGGCAAACGUCACAUGCCGACUCUAUUUACACUUGUUUCAGCGCACAGGAAGUGGAUCAAGGAG